rnacentral:rRNA from 1 species
GGUUAAGUGACUAAGCGUACACGGUGGAUGCCUAGGCAGUCAGAGGCGAUGAAGGGCGUGCUAAUCUGCGAAAAGCGUCGGUAAGGUGAUAUGAACCGUUACAACCGGCGAUACCCGAAUGGGGAAACCCAGUGUGUUUCGACACACUAUCAUGUCAUGAAUACAUAGUGGCAUGAGGCGAACCGGGGAACUGAAACAUCUAAGUACCCGAGGAAAAGAAAUCAACCGAGAUUCCCCAGUAGCGGCGAGCGAACGGGAGGAGCCCAGAACCUGAAUCGGCUUGUGUGUUAGUGGAAGCGUCUGGAAAGUCGCGCAGCAAAGGGUGAUAGCCCCGUACUAAAAUGCACAGGUCGUGAGUUCGAUGAGUAGGGCGGGACACGUGACAUCCUGUCUGAAUAUGGGGGACCAUCCUCCAAGGCUAAAUACUCCUGACUGACCGAUAGUGAACCAGUACCGUGAGGGAAACGAAAAGAACCCCGGCGAGGGAGUGAAAUAGAACCUGAAACCGUGUACGUACAAGCAGUGGGAGCACCUUCGUGGUGUGACUGCGUACCUUUGUAUAAUGGGUCAGCGACUUAUAUUUUGUAGCAAGGUUAACCGUAUAGGGGCCGUAGGGAAACCGAGUCUUAACUGGGCGAAUAGUUGCAAGGUAUAGACCCGAAACCCGGUGAUCUAGCCAUGGGCAGGUUGAAGGUUGGGUAACACUAACUGGAGGACCGAACCGACUAAUGUUGAAAAAUUAGCGGAUGACUUGUGGCUGGGGUGAAAGGCCAAUCAAACCGGGAGAUAGCUGGUUCUCCCGAAAGCUAUUUAGGUAGCGCCUCGUGAACUCAUCUCGGGGUAGAGCACUGUUUCGGCUAGGGGGCCAUCCCGGCUUACCAAACUGAUGCAAAC